rnacentral:miRNA from 1 species
UGAUGUCGUCUGACAGGCUGU